rnacentral:rRNA from 1 species
UACGUAGGGUGCGAGCGUUAAUCGGAAUUACUGGGCGUAAAGCGUGCGCAGGCGGUGAUGUAAGACAGAUGUGAAAUCCCCGGGCUCAACCUGGGAACUGCAUUUGUGACUGCAUCGCUGGAGUACGGCAGAGGGGGAUGGAAUUCCGCGUGUAGCAGUGAAAUGCGUAGAUAUGCGGAGGAACACCGAUGGCGAAGGCAAUCCCCUGGCCUGUACUGACGCUCAUGCACGAAAGCGUGGGGAGCAAACAGG